rnacentral:misc_RNA from 1 species
GCUAUUGAAGGUUCAUUUACAAAAAGUGAGCUCAAGACACCUGAAGAUAACUCAAAAGAACAGCUUGCACUUCAAAGAUAUACACCACCAAAUCCCUUCCUGUCUCUUCUGAAUGUACUUGGUGUAUUUGGUACUGGUGUUAUUGGUGCGCUCUAUGCAUUGACUAAGAAAGAGAAGAAAGCUACUGAAACAGCAAUAGAAUCUAUGACAGCCAAACUGAAAGAGAAGGAAGCUGCCAUUGUGUCCUUAGAGAAGAACUUUGAGUCAAAGCUAUUGAAUAAACAGGAAGAAUGGACAAAGCAACUCAGAAGGGCAAAGGAUGAACAGCUGGUUCUUGUGAACCAACUAAAAUCAGCUAACAGUACAAUUACAGGGC